AAGCAGCUUUUAUACGUACCAGUGAAAUCUUCAAAACAAGUUGCUGCCAGAAGAGAUAAGGCUGCAUACCACAACGACAAGAAAAAUAGUAGGAUUGGCUGUAGAAGAGCAAUCUUCCCUAUGCACGUUCAACGAUGAGGACUAGAUCCUAUAAAGAGCAG